AGCUUCCAUAUUAUUUUAAGUCGAAAAGAUCAUUUUAAGAGAGGAAAGUUAUGAAGGGUACAAAAGUACCAUCAGUCUUAUCAGGACCCCAAGCUUUUCACUGUUCUCCACCAAUUUUUUAAAGUCACAUGUUAGGAACUAUCCUCCUCCCAUACUUGGUUGUAGCUUAGAUAGUUCUGCCGAAAUAGCUUGUCUUUUAGUAUGGUCAGAUUCACCGUAGACAAAUGUGGCAUUGAAAUAGAGGCCCUUGUAGGAUAUACUGGUAUCAAUGUAUUUUUUUGUCGCCAUUAGUACCAUAAGUCCCACAUCAUUCUUCCAACCAAGGUAAAAACCCCCUCCUUCGGGACUAUGUGGAGGUACAAGGUAGGAUUCAUCCAUAGGCAUCCAUUGAAGGUCUUUUAAAACCUUUACAUUGGGGUUUAUUGUCUCCGUAAGGAAAAAAAUAUCAGAAGAAUUUCUCUUUAGAUUCUCCUUUAGCCGCUAAACUAUUAUGGGGAGAUACAAUUUUUAUCUGUGAAUUAAUUGAACUAGGAAUGUGAAAUUCAAAAGCAACAGCACACGAGAAGUUUGGGUCCGUUGCGGAAUCUUGCCUGAAUUUUUUUUUCAAAUCCAUUCGUUGAAAUUUAUUUUUACGUUGGUCAAAAAUACAAAAAACUAAUCGAAUGUAGUUUGGAUUGGCAAGCUUUAAAGUAUAUUUUAUCAAUGGUAAAAGACUAAAAUAUCUAAUGAAUAUAAUUUAUAUGUAUAAAAUUUCUUACUAAAUUAUUCAAUUUUAAAAUAAGAAAAAGCUUAACAAUUGAUUAAAGACAAUUAUAUAAGGACAAACCUCCUAAAUAGUUUUUUAUUUAUUUAUUUUUCUUCAAAAUAGUGCUAAAAAUCAAAGUAACGAAAAUAUAUUUUACUUAAAUGUUAAAUUAUAGUUAUACCAUAAUUUAUAAUUUAAUUAAUUAUUUAUUAAAAAUAUAAAAUAAAUAAAUAUUAAAAUUUUGAAAAUAACCAAAUUUUGGCUAGACACCAAACUUACUCCAAUUGGUUAGUUUUGGAGGCAGAGACACCUACUGCUUGCCAUGCACGACCUAUAUCCUCCCUGAGCUCAUUCUCCAUCCCUAUAAAUAGUAAUCACUCCUUAGUUCACUACUCAUACAUAAAACCCAACCAUACCAGCCUGAGUGAGUUUUGAGCCUUUAGACCCUUCCUGUGUCUAGAUUCUAAAGUUCCAGAGAUUCUCACAUAAAAUCUUAAAGUAAGAUAACUGCGAGAUAUGAGUGUGUGCAGUCCGAAACAUCCAUUUAAGUUUUUGAGGUUCCAAUACUCGAGGAGGAGUUUUAUGAGAGUCAUUGGUCCACCAGAAAUCCGUGCCUUACCCAGGUAACACUUAAUAGGUUCCAUUCGAGAUUGGAGGAGCACAAAACUGUUGGUGUAGAUUUGGUACCUUUUGUAAACAUGUACGGUUUUGUAAUAUGUAUGAUAUGAGUUUGAAAAUCGGCGGAGCAUGUAUAAAUGUUUUGAUGUGGUUGAAACUAAAGUAUAUAUGAAUAAUAAAGGUUUGGAAA